rnacentral:rRNA from 1 species
UGAAUUCUGAGUGGGCGUAGACCUAAUAAGUCAAAACUUUCAGCAACGGAUCUCUUGGCUCUGGCAUCGAUGAAGAACGCAGCGAAAUGCGAUAAUUAGUGGGAAUUGCAGAACUCAGUGAAUCAUCGAAUCUUUGAACGCACAUUGCGCCCGCCGGCAUCCCGGCGGGCAUGCCUGUCCGAGCGUCAUAUCAACCCCUCGGGCCACCUGUCCACCAUCCGUGGACGGGGUCGGCCCGGCGUUGGGGCACCGCGGGCUGGUUUCCUCCAGCCCGCAGGGCCCCCAAAUCCAGCGGCGGACGCCUCCUGGCCACCCAGCGCAGUAUAAUCGCUAUCGCUGAGGUGCACGGGGGGCUGCCCUGCCUACCGCCUAGCGGCACACACAACGUUUGACCUCGGAUCAGGUAGGACUACCCGCUGAACUUAAGCAUAUCAAUAAGCGGAGGAA